rnacentral:sRNA from 1 species
GCUUCAAUCUUGCUCUCACAAUUUCAUUCCAUUUCUCACGGUUUCGUUGUUUCCUUUCCACCGCUUCAAUCUUCCUCCAACUAGCUAUAAGACUCCGUCAAACCCCAGAAAGCGUUUUGCUUUUUUCUGCAUCCUCCUUUUUCUCCCUGCUCCUUGCUUUCCCCAACUGGCCCAACCUAGAAUCCUCCUCCUUUCCCCGGAUGAGAAAUCUGAAAUCCACAACCCAAAACUCAAUCAUAGUAGCCCCUGGCUUGCCGCAUUCGUCAUAUCCUGAUGGUUCAUUCUCUCCAUUCGAUUCGAUUUCGAUGAGAUAGUCUACCAAAAGAGUAGGGAGUGCAAAACAGAAGGAUGAAUUAAAUAGUUUACACAACCCCAGCAAAAUUGGAAUGCAUAUUUGCGGUG